GCAAAUCCGCUGAACUUAAGCAUAUUAUUAAGCGGAAGAAAAGAAAAUAACAAUGAUUCUUUUAGUAACGGCGAGUGAACAAAGAAGAGCUCAACAUGGAAAAUCCGACAGAUAGCUACCCGCAAUUUGUUGGAAUUGUCAAGUUGAAAAACAUACCAAGAGUUCUUUUUUAUAAUGUGAGAAUGAGAAGAAGUAGAUAGAAAUAUCUCUCCAUAGAGGGUGAAAGACCCGUAUUUUUAAUCAUAAAACUGAUCUAUUGGUAUGUUUUUUUUUUUGAGUCGUGUUCUUUGAGAUUGGAGCACUAAUUCGUGUGAUACAUUUCACAUAAAGCUAAAUAUUUGUAAGAAACCGAUAGUAAACAAGUACCGUGAGGGAAAGAUGAAAUAGUACUCAUGAAUGAGCAAUUAAAUAGUACCUGAAAUCGUUAAGAUGGAACGGAUUAAAAAAGGAAAAAAGUAACAACAUAUUAUAAUGAGAGAUUUUGGUGCGCGCAAUAAAGAAUGGAGUCCUGAAAAGGAUGUUGAUAUUCAAGUAUCAAAACAAAAUUUUUCUUUUUUUAAAAAGAAUUUUUUUGAAACUUUUGUUAUAAAAUUCAUUUUUAUUCUUAUCCUUUUUUUUUAGGUAAGAUAAAAAUGAUACAAAAGUUGUCUUUCAUAAUAUAUGUUCUUAUUAAAAGAAACAUCAGUGAAAGAAAAUAAAUAAUCGUAAAGCAAAAUGACCACAGUAAUAAGAAAUAAAAAAAAAAAAAAAAAAAAAAAUAAAUAAAUAAAUAUAUAAAUUAAAAUGGAAUAAAAUAAAAGAAUUAAUUGAAUUUCAUUUCAUUUUUUUCCUUUUUAUUUUAUUUUAUUUUAUUUUAUUUUGUUUUAUUUAUUUUUUUUUUUUUUUUUUUUUUUUUCCUUAUUGACUAUUUUUCUAAGCUAAUGUAGAAAAAUAUAACUUGCUUUUUUUUUCUUUUUUUCUUUUAUGAAGGGAGAAAAAAAGAAAAAUAUGAAAGAUUCAUUUAUUUAAUUUACUGAGGAUUAUGAAAAUUAUAUUGUGCUUUUAUUAUAUAUUGUAAAUAAUAUAGUUUAAGAUGUUUUUAUAAAGUACUUUUUUAACCCACUCGUCUUGAAACACGGACCAAGGAGUCUAACAAAUGUGCAAGUGUAUAUGAUAAGAAUAAACAUAGUAUAAAAUUUUAUACGCAUAAUUAAUGUAACAAUAUGUAUAUUAAUUGUAGAAUUGUGGUGUUUUUAUAUUAUUAAAAUCUCCCCACUUUGCAUACAAAUACCGGUAAGCAAUUAUGCUUUAUUGAGUAAGAGCAUAUUUGUUAGGACCCGAGAGGCUUUGAACUAAACGUGAUGAGAUUGAAGUCAGAUUAAAAAUCUGAUGGAGGAUCGAGUUGAUACUGACGUGCAAAUCGUUCAUUUCAAUUGCGUUUAGGGGCGAAAGACUAAUCGAAAAGCCUAUUAGCUGGUUAUUUUCGAAAGAUCCCUUAGGAUCGCUGGAGUUGACUAAUAUAAUUUUACCAGGUAGAGAUAAUGAUUAGAGGAAUCAAGGAAAUCGUUUUCCUUGACCUAUUCUCAAACUCCCAAUAGGUAAAAAGGGAGAAAUAACUGAAUUUUGUAUUUCGCUCAUAUUAAAUAAAAUAACUCCAAGUUGGCCAAUUUUGGUAAGCAGAACUGGCGAUGAGGGAUGCUCCUAACGCUUGGAUAAGGUGCCUAAAUAUUCGCUCAUUAGAUACCAUUAAAAAGGUGUUGGUUUGUGAUUACAGUAGGACGGUAUUCAUGGAAGUUGAAAUCCGCUAAGAAAUGUGUAAAAACUUACCUACCGAAUAAACUCGCCCUGAAAAUGGAUGGCGCUAAAGCGGAUUACCGAUACCAAGCCAUAAAAAGGAAAAAAAAAAAAAAAUUAAAUAUAUUUUUUUUUAGAUUCUUUUUAUGAGUAGAAAAUCGUGGGGUUUGUGUUGAAGCGAAAUACGUGAGUUUUCGUGGAACAUUUCCCUAGUGCAGAUCUUGGUGGAAGUAGCAAAUAUUCUUAUGAGAACUUUGAAGACUGAAGUGGAGAAGGGUUUUUUGUGAACUAUGUUUGAGCAAAAGUUAGCCGUUCCUAAGAGAUAGCUGAAAAGCGUUAUAAAUUGAGGUUAUCUAUUAUAUGAAAAGUAUAUUAGUGUUUUCUCUCUUCUCGAAAGGGAAGCAGGUUGAUAUUCCUGCGCCAAAAGUAAUAAGAACUAAUAAAUAGAGAUGGUAACAUAUAUAUAAAUGAACUCCUUAACAUAGGCCUUACGCUUGGAGUGCGUUAUCUUUGCACUUUACCUUUAUAUCCAAACCUUGGAAAUCAAUUUACUUGUAGAAAAGGUUUGAUGAAUUUACAAUAAACAAUAUAUUUAUUAUAUGUGUGGACCGGUACACAAGAUAUAUAAAUAUUUUGUUUUGUAGUAAUAGUAAUUUGUUUGUUUUACGAAUUAUCCAAAGUUGUAAGGACUAUCCAUGAAAAAAGGAGGGAACACUAAAUUAAAAUGGGAAUGUAAAAAUACUAUAAAAGUAUGAAAGGACAAAAAAAAAAGAAUGAAAUAAAAAAAAUAUUAACCUUCAGCUUUUUUUUAUUAUUAUUUUUUUUUCUUUUUUCUUUUAUAUUUCUAUAGUAUUCUACAUUAAGCAUUUUUUUUUUUAUAUUCUUAUUUUACAAUUAUGAUGAACGUACCAAUAACCGCAUCAGGUCUCCAAGGUUAGUAGCCUCUGGUUAAAUAGAAAAAGGUAGGUAAGGGAAGUAAGCAAAUUAGAUCCGUAACUUCGGGAAAAGGAUUGGCUCUGAUAACAUAAAUGAGAAGAAAAAGAAGAAAAGAAUUGGGGUUGAAAAUAAAAAUGUUAAGAUGAUUAUUUAUAUAUAUUAGUUUUUCUUAUAUUUUAAGAUUAAUUAUUUAUAUAUUUAAUAUGUUAAAAUGUUUUAGAUUUCUUCUUUAAUUCUUUUCUUCAUUUUUUUUUUUUUUUUUCUCUUCGAUAUUACAUUUUUUUUUUAUAUUAUGAUAAGCAAUUAUUAUAAUAAAAAUUAUGUAAUAUUGUAUAACUGUGUUUAUUCAGAACUG
rnacentral:rRNA from 1 species